UACGAAGGGGGCUAGCGUUGCUCGGAAUCACUGGGCGUAAAGCGCACGUAGGCGGACUCUUAAGUCGGUGGUGAAAUCCUGGAGCUCAACUCCAGAACUGCCUUCGAUACUGAGAGUCUUGAGUCCGGGGAGAGGUGAGUGGAACUGCGAGUGUAGAGGUGAAAUUCGUAGAUAUUCGCAAGAACACCAGUGGCGAAGGCGGCUCACUGGCCCGGUACUGACGCUGAGGUGCGAAAGCCAGGGGAGCAAACGGG
rnacentral:rRNA from 1 species